UGUCACAAAACCUUUCAGUGGUAUCAGAGCAACCUUGUUAGAAUUAAAUCAUAUGAUGAUAUGUUAACGAUUUAAUGGCAAUAUUAUAAAUAUGAUAUGAUCAUUAUUUAUAUUUUAAUAUGAUAUUAAUAUGAUGAGAUCAUAUUCAUUAUUUCAUAAUUAAAUUAUGAUGUAUAUAAUUAUGGAAUGUUGCUCUGUCAUAUUGAAUUGUGUUCACUAUGAUGCUAAUUUCUUUUAUUCAUGUAUUUAGUAUGAUAUAGAAAUUAAAUAUGCAUUGAGACCUGAAAAGCCCUCUGUAAAAUGAUAUUAAGUUGUAGUGUAAUUAACCAAUAGCAGAACCAGUCUAUGAUGUCUAAUUGAUCAAUCGGUGUCUAGGAAAGUGGUUCAUG
rnacentral:lncRNA from 1 species